AACAAAAACAAACAAAAAAAUAAUAUCUCUCUCUCUCUCUCUCUCUCUCUCUCUCUCUCUCUCUCUCUCUCUCUCUCUCUCUCUCUCUCUCUCUCUCUCUCUAACUAGCAAACUACUUCCCCCCGUACCCUCUGCUUUCCUUGCCUACCCCACUUCCCUCUCACUCUCUCUCUCAUAGUCAGUCUCUCUCUCUGUUCAGCGCCGGCUUCUCCACGAGCCACAUCGCCAGUCUGUCGAAACGCACACACGCACACACGCAAAAUGGAAGUACUUAUUUAAGUGAUUAAGUGUGGAAAA